rnacentral:lncRNA from 1 species
UGGCAAGUCUUCCAUUCUGCUUGAUGUUAAGCCAUGGGAUGAUGAGACAGACAUGAAGAAGCUGGAAGAGGCUGUUCGCACCGUUGAAAUUCCCGGUUUAACCUGGGGAGCAUGUAUGUUAAAAACUUGAAAUUUUAAUCUUUCUCACGCAUAUAUGUAAAUCUACCUUUUAUAAAAAUAAAAAAAAUAAAAAAAAAAAAGUCAAUUCCUAUGUGACUGAAGUGGUUUUUUGCAUUUGUUACAGCCAAGCUGGUUGCUGUUGGAUACGGAAUCAAGAAGCUGCAGAUCAUGUUGACCAUUAUUGAUGAUCUUGUAUCUGUGGACGACCUCAUUGAAGAAAGACUCACAGUUGAGCCAAUUAACGAGUAUGUCCAGAGCUGUGACAUUGUCGCAUUCAACAAAAUUUAAGUUUGAGUUUUUGGCCAUUUUCAAGCGGCUGAUUAGACUGUUAUUUGCGGAUAGUUUCCUCCCUUCUCCUCCACUCUGUCGUUUCUUCUUUCAUGUUUGGUGUGUUUCAGUGGUGGUUUUGUUACAAGAAUUGUAUGCAGUGAGUGAGAGAGAUGGAAAAUAUUUUAUGGUCUAACUUUUAAUGUUAUUCAUGUCAAAC